UUGAUCCUGGCUCAGAUUGAACGCUGGCGGCAGGCUUAACACAUGCAAGUCGAGCGGUAACAUUUCUAGCUUGCUAGAAGAUGACGAGCGGCGGACGGGUGAGUAACGCGUAGAAAUCUGCCUGGUAGUGGGGGAUAGCCCAGAGAAAUUUGGAUUAAUACCGCAUACGCCCUACGGGGGAAAGCAGGGGACCUUCGGGCCUUGCGCUAUCAGAUGAGUCUGCGUCGGAUUAGCUAGUUGGUGGGGUAAUGGCCUACCAAGGCGACGAUCCGUAGCUGGUCUGAGAGGAUGAUCAGCCACACUGGGACUGAGACACGGCCCAGACUCCUACGGGAGGCAGCAGUGGGGAAUAUUGCACAAUGGGCGCAAGCCUGAUGCAGCCAUGCCGCGUGUGUGAAGAAGGCCUUAGGGUUGUAAAGCACUUUCAG
rnacentral:rRNA from 1 species